UUCAAACUGGGUCCUCCACUCCUCCACAUAUUCAAAUUCACCCUUAGGAACUGAGUAGAGUGAAAGCUCAUCAAGCUUCAUGGGAUAUUUGAGAGGAACCUGUGAUCUCCACAAGUCGACGAAGGAAAAUGAUUGGAUUAUGGGGAAAGUUUCCCUCAUGCUGUUUCGUCCUUCCCAUGAGAUCUGAUGGUUUUAUAAAUGGCAGAUUUCCCUGCGCUCUCACUCCUUCUCCUGCCACCUUGUGAAUAAGGUGCCAGCUUCCCCUUCCACCAUGAUUGUAAGUUUCCUGGGUCAUCCCCAGUCAUGCGGAACUGACUCAAUUAAAAC
rnacentral:lncRNA from 1 species